rnacentral:rRNA from 1 species
CCUACGGGGGGCAGCAGUGGGGAAUAUUGCGCAAUGGGCGAAAGCCUGACGCAGCGACGCCGCGUGAGGGAUGAAGGUCUUCGGAUCGUAAACCUCUGUCAGCAGGGAGGAACGGUCACUGUGCUAAUCAGCAGUGAAUUGACGGUACCUGCAAGGGAAGCACCGGCUAACUCCGUGCCAGCAGCCGCGGUAAUACGGAGGGUGCGAGCGUUACUCGGAAUUACUGGGCGUAAAGCGCUCGUAGGCGGUAUGUAAAGUAAAGGGUGAAAGCCCCGCGCUCAACGUGGGAACUGCCUGUGAAACUGGCAAACUGGAGUGUGUGAGAGGAUAGUGGAAGUCCAGGUGUAGGAGUGAAAUCCGUAGAUAUCUGGAGGAACAUCAGUGGCGAAGGCGACUAUCUGGCACAUAACUGACGCUGAGGAGCGAAAGCGUGGGUAGCAAACAGGAUUAGAUACCCUUGUAGUC